GAUGAAGAACGUAGCGAAAUGCGAUACGUAAUGUGAAUUGCAAAUUCAGUGAAUCAUCGAGUCUUUGAACGCACAUUGCGCCCCCUGGUAUUCCGGGGGGCAUGCCUGUCCGAGCGUCAUUGCUGCCCUCAAGCACGGCUUGUGUGUUGGGCCCCGUCCUCCGAUCCCGGGGGACGGGCCCGAAAGGCAGCGGCGGCACCGCGUCCGGUUCUCGAGCGUAUGGGGCUUUGUCACCCGCUCUGUAGGCCCGGCCGGCGCUUGCCGAUCAACCCAAAUUUUUAUCCAGGUUGACCUCGGAUCAGGUAGGGAUACCCGCUGAACUUAAGCAUAUCAAUAAGCGGAGGA
rnacentral:misc_RNA from 1 species